GAUGAAGAACGCAGCGAAAUGCGAUAAGUAAUGUGAAUUGCAGAACUCAGUGAAUCAUCGAAUCUUUGAACGCACAUUGCGCCCGCCAGCAUUCUGGCGGGCAUGCCUGUUCGAGCGUCAUUUCAACCCUCGAGCCCCCCCGGGGGCCUCGGUGUUGGGGGACGGCACACCAGCCGCCCCCGAAAUGCAGUGGCGACCCCGCCGCAGCCUCCCCUGCGUAGUAGCACACACCUCGCACCGGAGCGCGGAGGCGGUCACGCCGUAAAACGCCCAACUUUCUUAGAGUUGACCUCGGAUCAGGUAGGAAUACCCGCUGAACUUAAGCAUAUCAAUAAGCGGAGGA
rnacentral:misc_RNA from 1 species